rnacentral:lncRNA from 1 species
ACUUACCUGACCAAUUUGAUAGAUUAUUUUGAUUAAACUGCUAAGUGAUUCAAGUUGAUCUAUGUCAUUAAGAUUGAUCAGUGUGACUGAUCUAGAUGCCAGUUCAACUAGCACAAUCUUAAUCCAAUUCAAUGACUUGGUGAAGUCAGUGGGAGGAUUGUAGUUUACUGGUUGAUCUCUUCUCUUCUCUUGACUCAUAAAUUAAAUCUUCUAAAUUAUUAG